CUGCUCACUUUGGCAGCACAGAUGCGAAAACUGGAACCAUGCAGAGAUCAGUAUGGCCCCUGUGCAACAAUGACCUGCAAAUUUGUGAAGCAUUCCGGAUUUUU